UAGCAUAUCAUAGUGGCGCACGGGUGCGUAACACGUAUGCAACCUACCUAUUAUUGGGGGAUAGCCUUUGGAAACGGAGAUUAAUACCGCAUAAUACGAUUGACUGGCAUCGGUUGAUUGUUAAAGCUUCGGCGAUAAUAGAUGGGCAUGCGUCCAAUUAGUUAGUUGGUUAGGUAACGGCUGACCAAGACGAUGAUUGGUAGGGGAUCUGAGAGGAUAAUCCCCCACACUGGCACUGAGAUACGGGCCAGACUCCUACGGGAGGCAGCAGUAGGGAAUAUUGGGCAAUGGGCGGAAGCCUGACCCAGCCAUGCCGCGUGCAGGAAGAAGGCGUUAUGCGUUGUAAACUGCUUUUUUAUAGGAAGAAGGAUCCCUUGCGAGGGAAGGUGACGGUACUAUAAGAAUAAGCACCGGCUAACUCCGUGCCAGCAGCCGCGGUAAUACGGAGGGUGCAAGCGUUGUCCGGAUUUAUUGGGUUUAAAGGGUGCGUAGGCGGUUUAUUAAGUCAGUGGUGAAAGACGGUCGCUCAACGAUUGCAGUGCCAUUGAUACUGGUAGACUUGAGUGAGAUUGAGGUAGCUGGAAUGGAUAGUGUAGCGGUGAAAUGCAUAGAUAUUAUCCAGAACACCGAUUGCGAAGGCAGGUUACUAAGUCUUAACUGACGCUGAGGCACGAAAGUGUGGGGAUCAAACAGGAUUAGAUACCCUGGUAGUCCACACUGUAAACGAUGAUGAC
rnacentral:rRNA from 1 species